CCUUAUGGCGGACGUGUCGGGCAGGCUCGCGCCUGGCCGGGUUUUGGCGAUUUUUGACCGGUUUUCUACCCCGACACGUCCGCCACCCUG
rnacentral:antisense_RNA from 1 species